GGAUGUGGCUCAAUUGGUAGUGCACUCGCCUGGCAUGCGUGAGGCACUGGGUUCAAUCCUCAACACCA
rnacentral:tRNA from 1 species